rnacentral:rRNA from 1 species
GAGUUUGAUCCUGGCUCAGGAUGAACGCUGGCGGCGCGCCUAACACAUGCAAGUCGAACGGCACCCCUCUCCGGAGGGAAGCGAGUGGCGAACGGCUGAGUAACACGUGGAGAACCUGCCCCCUCCCCCGGGAUAGCCGCCCGAAAGGACGGGUAAUACCGGAUACCCCGGGGUGCCGCAUGGCACCCCGGCUAAAGCCCCGACGGGAGGGGAUGGCUCCGCGGCCCAUCAGGUAGACGGCGGGGUGACGGCCCACCGUGCCGACAACGGGUAGCCGGGUUGAGAGACCGACCGGCCAGAUUGGGACUGAGACACGGCCCAGACUCCUACGGGAGGCAGCAGUGGGGAAUCUUGCGCAAUGGGGGGAACCCUGACGCAGCGACGCCGCGUGCGGGACGGAGGCCUUCGGGUCGUAAACCGCUUUCAGCAGGGAAGAGUCAAGACUGUACCUGCAGAAGAAGCCCCGGCUAACUACGUGCCAGCCGCCGCGGUAAUAC